CUGGCGGUCUGCUUAACACAUGCAAGUCGAACGGAAUCCUUCGGGAUUUAGUGGCGGACGGGUGAGUAACACGUAAGAACCUGCCUCUAGGACGGGGACAACAGUUGGAAACGACUGCUAAACCCGGAUGAGCCGAAAGGUAAAAGAUUAAUCGCCUAGAGAGGGGCUUGCGUCUGAUUAGCUAGUUGGUAAGGUAAGAGCUUACCAAGGCGACGAUCAGUAGCUGGUCUGAGAGGAUGAUCAGCCACACUGGGACUGAGACACGGCCCAGACUCCUACGGGAGGCAGCAGUGGGGAAUUUUCCGCAAUGGGCGAAAGCCUGACGGAGCAAGACCGCGUGGGGGAGGAAGGUUCUUGGAUUGUCAACCCCUUUUCUCAGGGAAGAACACAAUGACGGUACCUGAGGAAAAAGCAUCGGCUAACUCCGUGCCAGCAGCCGCGGUAAUACGGGGGAUGCAAGCGUUAUCCGGAAUGAUUGGGCGUAAAGAGUCCGUAGGUAGUCAUCCAAGUCUGCUGUUAAAGAGCGAGGCUUAACCUCGUAAAGGCAGUGGAAAUUGGAAGACUAGAGUGUAGUAGGGGCAGAGGGAAUUCCUGGUGUAGCGGUGAAAUGCGUAGAGAUCAGGAAGAACACCGGUGGCGAAGGCGCUCUGCUGGGCUAUAACUGACACUGAGGGACGAAAGCUAGGGGAGCGAAUGGGAUUAGAUACCCCAGUAGUCCUAGCGGUAAACGAUGGAAACUAGGUGUGGCCUGUAUCGACCCGGGCCGUGCCGAAGCAAACG
rnacentral:rRNA from 1 species